rnacentral:rRNA from 1 species
GUGAGGAAUAUUGGACAAUGGGCGCAAGCCUGAUCCAGCCAUGCCGCGUGCAGGAAGACGCAUCUAUGGUGUGUAAACUGCUUUUGUACGGGAAGAAACACUCCCUCGUGAGGGAGCUUGACGGUACCGUAAGAAUAAGGAUCGGCUAACUCCGUGCCAGCAGCCGCGGUAAUACGGAGGAUCCAAGCGUUAUCCGGAAUCAUUGGGUUUAAAGGGUCCGUAGGCGGUUUAAUAAGUCAGUGGUGAAAGCCCAUCGCUCAACGAUGGAACGGCCAUUGAUACUGUUAGACUUGAAUUACAAGGAAGUAACUAGAAGAUGUAGUGUAGCGGUGAAAUGCUUAGAUAUUACAUGGAAUACCAAUUGCGAAGGCAGGUUACUACUUGUGGAUUGACGCUGAUGGACGAAAGCGUGGGGAGCGAACAGGAUUAGAUACCCUAGUAGUCC